ACGUAGGGUGCGAGCGUUGUCCGGAUUUACUGGGCGUAAAGAGCGCGUAGGCGGUCUCGUAAGUGAGAAGUGAAAUCUCCAGAGCUCAACUCGGAAAUUGCUUUUCAUACUGCGAGACUGGAGGGAUGCAGAGGUGAGUGGAAUUCCUGGUGUACCGGUGAAAUGGGUAGAUAUCAGGAGGAACACCCGUGGCGAAGGCGGCUCACUGGGCAUUACCUGACGCUGAGGCGCGAAAGUGCGGGUAGCAAACAGGA
rnacentral:rRNA from 1 species